rnacentral:tRNA from 1 species
GCGGGUGUAGUUCAACGGUAGAACCUCAGCCUUCCAAGCUGAUGACGAGGGUUCGAGUCCCUUCACCCGCUCCA